rnacentral:lncRNA from 1 species
AAAAAAAAAACUUUUUUUUUUUUUUCUUCUAAAUCCCUUCUCUCUCUUCACUUCGCGUGUUUCUCCCUACCCCGUGAAUCUCCCCAACUGCUCCUUGUAAGUCCACUUCGCGUGUUUCUCUCUCCCCUGUGAAUCUCCCCAACUCUUCCUUUUAAGUCUUAAUGCCCUUCCCUACACUAUCAACCUCAUCAAGAAGCUCUUGAGUCGCCUUUAAAUAUUUUUAACCCAUCGGAACCCCCUGUAAAUUUGAUGAAACAGAGUCCACAGUCCUCUGUUUCAUUCUAUGAGAUAAUCCACGGCCAUUCGAAUGCCAUUCGAUGGUUGUUGGGAAAAAAGACUCAAAGAGUGAAACCCUUGUUAUGUUUGAUCAGACGCCAUGGGUGCUAUUCAAAUACCCAUCUGAGAAAUCGUGAUUUCUUGAACAGGUUGGAAAUGAGAGAUUGAGGCUGAACUGUUCAUAUUUACGAUUUGGGGAGGAUUAAUAUAGGCCUUAGAUUGAUCAGUUGCUUGGAGAAGGGUGGGUUCAUUGCCCUAUUUCCUCCAUUGAUUGUCUUGGUGAUGGCCUGAAAUUCGAUAGGCAAGCAAAUUCGGGUUUAUGACAGGCGGGUUUACAAUGAGUACCUGGCGUUGUGCGCCUGAGGUUGUUGGUUUGAGUUUUAAGAGAGAUUGGUACCAAUUGUUAAGGGAUUUCUAUUAACAUGAUUUACAAGCACCAUGUUUCCUGGAUUUGCAGAGGGCGUC